UACAUGUCAAGUAUUUCAUUUCAAGUGAUUGUUGUAUGACGUCAAUAGUUCAAGAGGCGCAGAUUCUCGGGUCAAGCGGCGCAGAUUUCCAAAUAGCGAUAAGGUGUAUAAAGAAUAAUGGGCAAAAAUAUAAAGUAUGGAGAAAAAGGGACCAAAAAAUAAAGAAGAGAGAACAAUGAGGUGCUAAAAUAUAAAGAAUAGAGAAUAAUUGGCAAAAAGUAUGAAGAAUUGAGAAAAAUGGCAUAAAAAUUAAAGAAUACAGAAAUGUUGGACCCCCAUCCAGACCAUCAUAUAACAUUUUUAUUGAUGAAAUAAAUCCCAUAGAACAUAUCAUUUAAUCGACAGUCAACAAAGGUUUCAAUAGAACAGGUUCAAAUACAACACGGAAGACUGGUACUUCCUGAUCAGGCACUAAAACUAUUGGUUAAACUGUAGGCGGAUGUUAGCAACCGUAAUGGACGACUUUGCUUUUAUUUAUCAGAUAGUUGUACAAAAAAUAGCUUUUAUCUAUUAGAUAGUUAAUAAUCAAAUGUCGUAUCUCCAUUUUUUUUCCUAAUGAAUAUAUUGAUGUGCUGGAAUGAUUGAUAAAAGAUGAAAAAUAAAAUUUGCAUUACAAAAUUAUUGUAAAAAAAUAUAUUGCUGUCUUCAUUGUAAUGAAUAAAAACCGUACAAUUGUAAAUAAUUGAUAAAACAUUGGGAUUACAUAGUGCCAUGUUAAACCACAGGUUGUCUGCUGCUGAAAUCCACAAUGACAUCAUUAAUUUAAGUGACGUCUUUUUCAAUAGACCAAGUACAAGAAAAUUAUGUUCAGUCAGAAGGUUAGUUAAGAUGUAUGCUUUCAGAAUAAAUGGACAAAUGUAUGAGUUUCUGGAUGGGGGUCCAGCAUUUAUUUAUUUUUAACUUUUUGGACCAUUUUUCUUUAUUUUAUAUUUAUUUUUGCUCUAUUCUUUAUUAUUUUUGCCCUUCAUUCUGCACUUUAUGCCCAUUAUUCUAUAUUCUUUUAACCCAGAGCCUCCUGCAUGGGUCACAUAUUUCAUGUGUUUAGUUUAUCAAACUUUAUGUUUAGAGAGUACCUGAUAAAGGCUAUUUAGAAACCCGUAUAGUGCUCUCUGAGAGCGGUAACGUAUACUACCACUAGGUCAGUGCAGUUCUCCUGUCAGUCCCCGAAUUCAACAUUUGCUUAGAAACAGUAAUUAAAAUGACACCUUGAUCCUUAUUAUAAAUAAUCAGUUUACGCUGAAAUAUUACUCUUUCGGAGUACACGAGUUCAACCUCGAUUUUGGCGGACAUCGUGUUGCUCGAUCUUAAGUUUUCUGUGUUGUGUGUUACGGACCCGUUUCAUCUUUUUUCUUGUGUGUCUGUCUUUUUUCGACUUUUGGGUAUUGAUUGCCCCUUCAGUACCGUCUCCACUUUUCCGUAAAUCAUUUAAUUUUUAACUAAACUUAGUUUGUAGCUCUUAAAUUGAAAGACAAGUUAACCGUCAAAGAUUUUGAAAGAUCUACGAAGGCUCUUUUCGUAUUGGUGCUCUUAAAAUAGAUGUAUGAUGCCAAUUUUAGUACGCAUGACAUGUGAUUCUGAAACAAUCUACUCAAAAAAAUGAAAAAAAAACACUUAAUAAAUUUCAUGCGUCCGAAGCGCUUCUCUUGAUUUACCUUCAUCAGGAACGAUCAAAGCCGAAUAUUUGAAAGCCAAGGAUGUAUGUUGAAAAUCUAUAUGACCAAAAAGAACCUAAAGAUAAUAGCCAACUAAAGGUACGCUCAAGACCAAAAUUGUGGGAAGUCAAAAUACAGUAAACGUAUAACGUUUAGUUUUGCCUGAGAGACGAAGUUUAUUUCACUAUAAUUGGUAUCUUAUUUAAUUGUAACCAAAUCAUUGCAAUCAUGUUUAAUCAUUUGUACCAAAUUUAACUUGACGACUCUGCCUGUAAUGGGCAUCUUUAAUUGACAAUAAAAUAUUUGAACUUGAACUUGAACUACACUGACUAUAUAUAUUUUUAUUCUCUACAAACCAUUUACAGCGGAAUGGUACAGAGAACACAAUAUUAGAAACAAAUCAACAUAGAUGAGAUAGAUGUCAGCCCGGAUCACACAACCCUUUAUUAACAAUUUUGAUAAAUUUACAGAGUUUCGAAAGUAUCGAUUUUCUUUUACAUGUCAUAAGAUCUCCAAAUUUAAGUGUAUUUGGACGUUUUGAAAAUUUUUCUUGGAUUAAUAAACUUCGAAUGUUGGCAAUUAUAUAAGUGCCUUAUAACAAUUAUAUAAGUGCCUUAUAACAAUUAUAUAAGUGCCUUAUAACAAUUAUAUAUGUUUUCAGGUACUCACACUCUCAGUGUCGUGUCUCACUGUCUGGAAGGUUAUAUCAGAAACGUUACAUAAUUUAAAUCGAAAAGAAGAUCUUGUGUAUUUAAAUUCAUAUUUUAUAUUGCUUUUAAUUUUGGAUAUGACGGUUCGCAUUAUAAGAAAACUGAUUAUUCACAGCGAGCGUCGUUUGCGACCUAAACUUUAUGACAGAAGAGAAGACUUCAUUUUCCAAUUGUGAUUUUUUACAUUUUGAUGUAGUACCAUUCCAUAACUUUCAUAUCUCCCAGUUGAUACGAUAUUCCAGGAUUGCAUUUGCUUAAGGUUUUUAAGUUUGGUUUUCUAAUUAAAUUAUUUUUUUUCAA